GGCAGUUCUCAGGUGACGCACCCGGGAAUCAGGCUCCCUCCUCUCUGUUUCUGGGUGCAUCACCUGAGAACCGCA
rfam:Myotis lucifugus cont2.50650, whole genome shotgun sequence.